rnacentral:rRNA from 1 species
AUGCGACAGGUAUGGCCACUACCACCAAAUGGGAAACUGUUGCAUACCGGAGAUGAUUGGCUAUUCAAUAUUCUGUCAGUUGAGAAGGAAGAUGUAAGAGCAAUGAUUAUCAUGUUAUUAUGGAGAAUUUGGAGUCUGAGAAAUGAUGUUCUACAUGACAAAUCGAUGCCUCUUGUAGAGAUUUCAAAGACCUUUCUCUGUAGUUACCUGUCCGCUUAUAACCAGGUCCAAAAGUACAGCAUAGAAGAGAUCAUUAAGGGGAAGAUGCUGGUUGUGGACACCCCUGUACCAACUAAUGCCAUCAUUAUGAAGAAGAUGCCUUGGCCAAAACCACCAGCUGGGUGGGUUGCUCUAUCUGUUGACGGCUCCUUCGUCAAAGACACCGGACAGGCAGGGACUGGCAUGGUUCUAAGGGACUCGGAUGGCGUGGUCAUCUUCUCGGCUUACAGAUAUCUAUUCAACUCUAAAGAUGCCUUAGAGUCCGAAAUCAGUGCAGCUUUGGAGGGCAUUUCAUUCUACUUGCAAAGGUCAGAUCUCCCGGUUGUAGUUCAAUCUGACUCUUCUGUCUUGGUCGCUGCAUUAACGGAUGAGUCGUUGGACAAAUCUGAACAUGGACAUCUCUGGAAAUUAAGAAGCUCCUGA